AGAGUUUGAUCAUGGCUCAGAUUGAACGCUGGCGGCAGGCCUAACACAUGCAAGUCGAGCGGUAGCACAGAGAGCUUGCUCUCGGGUGACGAGCGGCGGACGGGUGAGUAAUGUCUGGGAAACUGCCUGAUGGAGGGGGAUAACUACUGGAAACGGUAGCUAAUACCGCAUAACGUCGCAAGACCAAAGUGGGGGACCUUCGGGCCUCAUGCCAUCAGAUGUGCCCAGAUGGGAUUAGCUAGUAGGUGGGGUAACGGCUCACCUAGGCGACGAUCCCUAGCUGGUCUGAGAGGAUGACCAACCACACUGGAACUGAGACACGGUCCAGACUCCUACGGGAGGCAGCAGUGGGGAAUAUUGCACAAUGGGCGCAAGCCUGAUGCAGCCAUGCCGCGUGUGUGAAGAAGGCCUUCGGGUUGUAAAGCACUUUCAGCGGGGAGGAAGGCGGUGAGGUUAAUAACCUCAUCGAUUGACGUUACCCGCAGAAGAAGCACCGGCUAACUCCGUGCCAGCAGCCGCGGUAAUACGGAGGGUGCAAGCGUUAAUCGGAAUUACUGGGCGUAAAGCGCACGCAGGCGGUCUGUCAAGUCGGAUGUGAAAUCCCCGGGCUCAACCUGGGAACUGCAUUCGAAACUGGCAGGCUAGAGUCUUGUAGAGGGGGGUAGAAUUCCAGGUGUAGCGGUGAAAUGCGUAGAGAUCUGGAGGAAUACCGGUGGCGAAGGCGGCCCCCUGGACAAAGACUGACGCUCAGGUGCGAAAGCGUGGGGAGCAAACAGGAUUAGAUACCCUGGUAGUCCACGCCGUAAACGAUGUCGAUUUGGAGGUUGUGCCCUUGAGGUGUGGCUUCCGGAGCUAACGCGUUAAAUCGACCGCCUGGGGAGUACGGCCGCAAGGUUAAAACUCAAAUGAAUUGACGGGGGCCCGCACAAGCGGUGGAGCAUGUGGUUUAAUUCGAUGCAACGCGAAGAACCUUACCUGGUCUUGACAUCCACAGAACUUUCCAGAGAUGGAUUGGUGCCUUCGGGAACUGUGAGACAGGUGCUGCAUGGCUGUCGUCAGCUCGUGUUGUGAAAUGUUGGGUUAAGUCCCGCAACGAGCGCAACCCUUAUCCUUUGUUGCCAGCGGUUCGGCCGGGAACUCAAAGGAGACUGCCAGUGAUAAACUGGAGGAAGGUGGGGAUGACGUCAAGUCAUCAUGGCCCUUACGACCAGGGCUACACACGUGCUACAAUGGCAUAUACAAAGAGAAGCGACCUCGCGAGAGCAAGCGGACCUCAUAAAGUAUGUCGUAGUCCGGAUUGGAGUCUGCAACUCGACUCCAUGAAGUCGGAAUCGCUAGUAAUCGUAGAUCAGAAUGCUACGGUGAAUACGUUCCCGGGCCUUGUACACACCGCCCGUCACACCAUGGGAGUGGGUUGCAAAAGAAGUAGGUAGCUUAACCUUCGGGAGGGCGCUUACCACUUUGUGAUUCAUGACUGGGGUGAAGUCGUAACAAGGUAACCGUAGGGGAACCUGCGGUUGGAUCACCU
rnacentral:rRNA from 1 species